GACGAACGCUGGCGGCGUGCUUAACACAUGCAAGUCGAGCGGUAAGGCCCUUUCGGGGGUACGACGAGCGGCGAACGGGUAGGAGUAACAACGUGGGUGGACCUCGCCCUCCAGCUCUGGGAGUAAAGCCUCGGGAAACCGGGGUACCGUAAUAACCGGACUAUGACUCCAUGACGCAUGUUGUGGGGUGGGAAAGACCUUGUGCGGC
rnacentral:rRNA from 1 species